rnacentral:rRNA from 1 species
GCAGAGCAUCCUACGGGAGGCAGCAGUGGGGGAAUAUUGCACAAUGGGCGCAAGCCUGAUGCAGCCAUGCCGCGUGUAUGAAGAAGGCCUUCGGGUUGUAAAGUACUUUCAGCAGUGAGGAAGGUGGGUAUGUUAAUAGCAUAUUCAUUUGACGUUAGCUGCAGAAGAAGCACCGGCUAACUCCGUGCCAGCAGCCGCGGUAAUACGGAGGGUGCGAGCGUUAAUCGGAAUUACUGGGCGUAAAGCGCAUGCAGGUGGUUUGUUAAGUCAGAUGUGAAAGCCCGGGGCUCAACCUCGGAAUUGCAUUUGAAACUGGCAAACUAGAGUACUGUAGAGGGGGUAGAAUUUCAGGUGUAGCGGUGAAAUGCGUAGAGAUCUGAAGGAAUACCGGUGGCGAAGGCGGCCCCCUGGACAGAUACUGACACUCAGAUGCGAAAGCGUGGGGAGCAAACAGGAUUAGAUACCCUGGUAG